UUUAUCUAUCUAGGUCAUUUCUAUUACUCCCCUCAACUCCUUAUCUUAUUGAAUUAUCUCUCUUAUCCACCUUUAAAAAUUUAGCUUAUGUUUAUACCACUUAAUCUUUUCUUUUACAAAUUCUUUCUCAAUCUGCAGUCUAUGUCCUCAGUGUUCCUAUAAAUUCUUGGGCUGGUGGCAUCACCAUAUCAUCAUCCUCCUCAUCAUCAUCACAGUUGUGAUCACCAUCAGAGGCUGAUAUUUGUUCAAAUUACUAUGUACCAGGGGUCAAAGAUUUCUACCCUGUUGGAAGAAGCCACUGUUGAAGUGUGAAAGGCUACUCUGCUUUCUGCGUCCAUUUAACCUUUGGCCUGCCCUAAAGAGCCAGCCAAGUGUCAAUCAGGGCUGAUUGGGCACCUGUGCCUGGAAACAAGACAGAGAAAUUUAGCUCUUCCAGGUCAUCAAACCAUCUCCAGAUGGCAAAGAACUUCUGAAGUUAUGAACCUAACUUGCUUGUGAUGCAAAUUAGUGACCUAGGGUGAGAUGCUUCAUUAAUGCUUACUCCUGUGAGCCUCCAAGGUGUCAGAAGUUGGACUGCUUACUCUCACAUUUUUUUUUUGCUGUGUAAUGUGCAUUAAAAUAAUUUAUAUUCAUAGAGAUGGUCCAAUAAAUUGCAUAUGGCUAGUUAAUAAGCUGCUAAAGCAGAGAAGAAAAUUAGAUUUCAUUUAGAAGAAAACAAUAUUUGGCUUUCCCCAUGGAAAUAUGUGAAAAAGCUUUAGAAAAUUCUGUUAACAUUGAGGUCUCAGAAGAGACUGUGAUUAAAAAUAAUAAAAAGAAAAAAAUAUGAA